AUUAGAGAGUUUGAUCCUGGCUCAGGAUUAAUGCUGGCGGCGUGCCUAAUACAUGCAAGUCGAACGGGAGUUUACCGGCAAUAUGCGGCUAAGGGUAACUUUAGCUGUAUGAUGUUGGUUGAUUUUAGUGGCGAACGGGUGAGUAAUGCAUGGACAACCUGCCUUAAAGAGGGAAAUAAUCCCGAGAAAUCGGGACUAAUGUCCCAUAAGACCACAGAUACGCAUGUUUCAGUGGUUAAAAACUGCGAUGUUGAAUCGUGGCGCUUCAAGAAGGAUCCAUGUCCUAUCAGCUAGUUGGUGUGGUAAAGGCGCACCAAGGCUAUGACGGGUAGCCGGUCUUAGAGGGUGUACGGCCACAAUGGGAUUGAGAUACGGCCCAUACUCCUACGGGAGGCAGCAGUAAGGAAUUUUCCACAAUGCCCGAAAGGGUGAUGGAGCGACGCCGCGUGGGUGAUGAAGGUCUUCGGAUUGUAAAACCCUUUUGUAAAGGAUGAACUUACAGUACUUUACGAAUAAGCUUCGGCCAACUCUGUGCCAGCAGCCGCGGUAAGACAGAGGAAGCAAGCAUUAUCCGGAAUGACUGGGUGUAAAAUGUGUGUAGGUGGUUAAAUAAGUCAAAUGUGAAAUCCCGAUGCUUAACAUCGGAACUGCAUUUGAUACUGUUUAUCUUGAGUUCGAGCGAGGAGGGCGGAAUUCCCGGUGGAGCGGUGAAAUGCGUUGAGAUCGGGAGGAACACCAAUGGCGAAGGCAGCUUUCUAGCUCGAAACUGACACUGAGGCACGAAAGCUAGGGGAGCAAACAGGAUUAGAUACCCUGGUAGUCCUAGCUGUAAACUAUGGAUACUGGGUGUGGGUUCUUAAUGAAUCCGCGCCGAAGUUAACGCGUUAAGUAUCCUACCUGGGGAGUACAGUCGCAAGACCGAAACU
rnacentral:rRNA from 1 species